CGCUUACGCCAUACCAACCUGGCUAUGCCCGAUCUCGUCUGCUCUCGGAAGCUAAGCAGGUUUGGGCCUGGUUAGUACUUGGAUGGGGAGGAGCCGCCUGGGAGAUACAGGUGCUCGAGAGA
rnacentral:rRNA from 1 species